rnacentral:rRNA from 1 species
GAGUUUGAUCMUGGCUCAGAUUGAACGCUGGCGGCAUGCCUUACACAUGCAAGUCGAACGGCAGCACGGGGGCAACCCUGGUGGCGAGUGGCGAACGGGUGAGUAAUACAUCGGAACGUGUCCUGUAGUGGGGGAUAGCCCGGCGAAAGCCGGAUUAAUACCGCAUACGAUCUGCGGAUGAAAGCGGGGGAUCCUUCGGGACCUCGCGCUACAGGGGCGGCCGAUGGCAGAUUAGCUAGUUGGUGGGGUAAAGGCCUACCAAGGCGACGAUCUGUAGCUGGUCUGAGAGGACGACCAGCCACACUGGGACUGAGACACGGCCCAGACUCCUACGGGAGGCAGCAGUGGGGAAUUUUGGACAAUGGGCGAAAGCCUGAUCCAGCAAUGCCGCGUGUGUGAAGAAGGCCUUCGGGUUGUAAAGCACUUUUGUCCGGAAAGAAAACCUCGUGGUUAAUACCCGUGGGGGAUGACGGUACCGGAAGAAUAAGCACCGGCUAACUACGUGCCAGCAGCCGCGGUAAUACGUAGGGUGCAAGCGUUAAUCGGAAUUACUGGGCGUAAAGCGUGCGCAGGCGGUUCGCUAAGACAGAUGUGAAAUCCCCGGGCUUAACCUGGGAACUGCAUUUGUGACUGGCGGGCUAGAGUAUGGCAGAGGGGGGUAGAAUUCCACGUGUAGCAGUGAAAUGCGUAGAGAUGUGGAGGAAUACCGAUGGCGAAGGCAGCCCCCUGGGCCAAUACUGACGCUCAUGCACGAAAGCGUGGGGAGCAAACAGGAUUAGAUACCCUG